CAAGCACAGUCGUCCUGGCUGGUAACGGUCAGAGAUCAUAAUUGGGUGAAUUGCUGGAAACCCCUUAGAGCUUUUCUUGCCACAACGCAGUCGGAAACGACAGACGUGACGGUCCGAAAAAAGAAAAGAUUGGGCAAUCAGCAGCCAAGCUCCUGUGAGGAAACUCUGGAGAAGGUUCAACGACUAGGAUAGACCAUCUAAGGCGCAAGCUAUGGUGAUGAAAUCCGUAGGUGAAUCAAUGUGGUUCAGCAUUGAAGAUCCGAAGUGCCCAACCCCUCCUGGAAAGAUCAGAGGGUGAAGAUAUAGUCUGGUCAUUUAUGAAAGUAAAUG
rnacentral:ncRNA from 1 species